AGUGAACGCUGGCGGUAGGCCUAACACAUGCAAGUCGAACGGCAGCACAGUAAGAGCUUGCUCUUACGGGUGGCGAGUGGCGGACGGGUGAGGAAUACAUCGGAAUCUACUUUCUCGUGGGGGAUAACGUAGGGAAACUUACGCUAAUACCGCAUACGACCUACGGGUGAAAGCAGGGGAUCUUCGGACCUUGCGCGAUUGAAUGAGCCGAUGUCGGAUUAGCUAGUUGGCGGGGUAAAGGCCCACCAAGGCGACGAUCCGUAGCUGGUCUGAGAGGAUGAUCAGCCACACUGGAACUGAGACACGGUCCAGACUCCUACGGGAGGCAGCAGUGGGGAAUAUUGGACAAUGGGCGCAAGCCUGAUCCAGUCAUACCGCGUGGGUGAAGAAGGCCUUCGGGUUGUAAAGCCCUUUUGUUGGGAAAGAAAAGCAGCAGGUUAAUACCCCGCUGUUCUGACGGUACCCAAAGAAUAAGCACCGGCUAACUUCGUG
rnacentral:rRNA from 1 species